rnacentral:rRNA from 1 species
UACAGAGGGUGCAAGCGUUAAUCGGAAUUACUGGGCGUAAAGAGCACGUAGGUGGUUGUUUAAGUUGGAUGUGAAAGCCCCGGGCUUAACCUGGGAAAGUCAUUCAAUACUGGGCGACUAGAGUACGGUAGAGGGAAGUGGAAUUUCCGGUGUAGCGGUGAAAUGCAUAGAUAUCGGAAGGAACAUCAGUGGCGAAGGCGACUUCCUGGACUGAUACUGACACUGAGGUGCGAAAGCGUGGGGAGCAAACAGG